rnacentral:misc_RNA from 1 species
GAAAUGCGAUACGUAAUGCGAAUUGCAGAAUUCAGUGAAUCAUCGAAUCUUUGAACGCAAGUUGCGCUUUCGAGAGCCCUCGGAAGCAUGCCUCUCUGAGUAUCGGUUUCCAUCCUCACAGCAAUGUGGAGAAUGAGAGUCGAGAUGCGUGAUCCUCUCGUCUCUUGAAAUGUCACGACAACUGCGACACACAAGUCCAUCGGAUUCUUGGAACGAUAAUCAUCAUAAUCUGUCAUGGCGCGGAAAUCAUACGAACAAGAUCUCAGAUGAGGUAAGACUACCCGCCGAAUUUAA